UACAGAGGCCCCAAGCGUUGUUCGGAUUCACUGGGCGUAAAGGGUGCGUAGGUGGUUGCGCAAGUCUGAUGUGAAAUCUCCGGGCUCAACCCGGAAAUGGCAUUGGAAACUGCGUGGCUAGAGGGUUGGAGGGGGGACUGGAAUACUUGGUGUAGCAGUGAAAUGCGUAGAUAUCAAGUGGAACACCAGUGGCGAAGGCGAGUCCCUGGACAACACCUGACACUGAGGCACGAAAGCUAGGGGAGCAAACAGG
rnacentral:rRNA from 1 species